GACGAACGCUGGCGGCGUGCCUAAUACAUGCAAGUAGGACGCACAGUUUAUACCGUAGCUUGCUACACCAUAGACUGUGAGUUGCGAACGGGUGAGUAACGCGUAGGUAACCUGCCUAUUAGAGGGGGAUAACUAUUGGAAACGAUAGCUAAUACCGCAUAACAGUAUGUAACACAUGUUAGAUGCUUGAAAGAUGCAAUUGCAUCGCUAGUAGAUGGACCUGCGUUGUAUUAGCUAGUAGGUAGGGUAAUGGCCUACCUAGGCGACGAUACAUAGCCGACCUGAGAGGGUGAUCGGCCACACUGGGACUGAGACACGGCCCAGACUCCUACGGGAGGCAGCAGUAGGGAAUCUUCGGCAAUGGGGGGAACCCUGACCGAGCAACGCCGCGUGAGUGAAGAAGGUUUUCGGAUCGUAAAGCUCUGUUGUUAAGGAAGAACGAGUGUGAAAAUGGAAAGUUCAUACUGUGACGGUACUUAACCAGAAAGGGACGGCUAACUACGUGCCAGCAGCCGCGGUAAUACGUAGGUCCCGAGCGUUGUCCGGAUUUAUUGGGCGUAAAGCGAGCGCAGGCGGUUAGAAAAGUCUGAAGUGAAAGGCAGUGGCUCAACCAUUGUAGGCUUUGGAAACUGUUUAACUUGAGUGCAGAAGGGGAGAGUGGAAUUCCAUGUGUAGCGGUGAAAUGCGUAGGUAUAUGGAGGAACACCGGUGGCGAAAGCGGCUCUCUGGUCUGUAACUGACGCUGAGGCUCGAAAGCGUGGGGAGCGAACAGG
rnacentral:rRNA from 1 species